rnacentral:lncRNA from 1 species
UUGGUGACUAUGUGGAACGCAUCUAUCCAAUCGAACUAGAGAUAAAGGAUACUACAGAUACAGUAAAGUCGGCUUCAUAUCUUGACUUACAUCUAGAAAUUGACAAUGAAGUUCGGUUGAAAACAAAACUUUACGACAAAAGAGAUGAUUUCAGCUUUCCAAUUGUGAACUUUCCAUUUCUUAGUAGCAACAUUCCAGCAGCAC